rfam:Bombyx mori DNA, contig: Bm_scaf4829_contig50038, strain: p50T/Dazao, build 2, whole genome shotgun sequence.
GUUAGUUAAUAUUUAUAUGGAAUGGGAUCGUUUGCGUACGUUUGCCGCUAGGGGCGCUGUUCCAACUGCAUACAAAAUUGGCUUA